rnacentral:rRNA from 1 species
GACGUAGGGGGCAAGCGUUGUCCGGAAUCAUUGGGCGUAAAGCGCUCGUAGGUGGAUCGGUAAGUCUGCAAAGAAAGACCCGGGCUCAACUCGGGGAACGGUGUGGAUACUACCGAUCUUGAGGCAAUCAGAGGAUGAUGGAAUUCCCGGUGUAGCGGUGAAAUGCGUAGAUAUCGAGAGGAACACCGGUGGCGAAGGCGGCCAACUGGACGAAUACUGACGCUGAGACACGAAAGCGUGGGGAGCAAACAGG